rnacentral:rRNA from 1 species
CCUACGGGUGGCAGCAGUGGGGAAUAUUGGGCAAUGGGCGAAAGCCUGAACCAGCAACGCCGCGUGGAGGAUGAAGGCCUUCGGGUUGUAAACUUCUUUUGUUAGAGAAGAUAAAAAUGAUGUCACUCGAUUAAUCAGCGGCGGCUUACUACGCGGCAGCAGCCGCGGUAAUACGGAGGGGGCAAGCGUUCUGCGGAAUUACUGGGUGUAAAGGGCGUGUAGGCGGGACUGCAAGUCAGAUGUGAAAACCAGUGGCUUAACCCAAGACCUGCAUUUGAAACUGUUGUUCUAGAGUGUGGGAGAGGCAGGUGGAAUUCCUGGUGUAGGGGUGAAAUGCGUAGAGAUCAGGAGGAAAACCAAUUGCGAAGGCGGCCUGUUGGACCAUAACUGACGCUGAGGCGCGAAAGCGUGGGGAGCAAACAGGAUUAGAUACCCGAGUAGUC